rnacentral:lncRNA from 1 species
AAUCUCUCACAGAACACAAAAACAGAGUUAGAGACUUCAUACGAACCAAACACAAACAGAGUUAAUCCAAUUCUACAAGACCCGAAAGAUUCAUAUACAGUAAUAACAAGUUAACAACUUACCUCGAUGAAUACUCCGAUCAGUCACAAAACCAUGCAAAACCCUAAAGAGAUGAUAACAACUUACCUCGACGAAUACUUCGAUCAAUCGCAAAUCGAUGUAAAACCCUAAAAGAGAUAUGAGAAGAUUACUAAGGUAAAAAUCAG